UACGUAGGGACCAAGCGUUGUUCGGAUUUACUGGGCGUAAAGGGCGCGUAGGCGGCAAAUUAAGUCAUCUGUGAAAUCUCCGAGCUUAACUCGGAACGGUCAGGUGACACUGAUCUGCUAGAGUGCGGAAGGGGCAAUCGGAAUUCUUGGUGUAGCGGUGAAAUGCGUAGAUAUCAAGAGGAACACCUGAGGUGAAGACGGGUUGCUGGGCCGACACUGACGCUGACAGCGCGAAAGCCAGGGGAGCAAACGGG
rnacentral:rRNA from 1 species